rnacentral:misc_RNA from 1 species
GUGCAUUCUGGGGUCAUUUUGGCUGUUAGCGGCUUGCUUGGCAAUUGAGCUUGGUGGGUGGCUACCGGUUGGGUGUCUUCGGGGAUGUCUACCGUAAAGGUGCAUGAGUGGUGUUUGGUUUGUUACGGGUGGUUGGCUCUUUGCUUGCGCAACAACUUCUACCCGGCAUACCUCUUCAGUCUUGUGUCAAUGCUUGUAUGGCAUUGAAUGCACGGCGGGUUUCUUGUGUUGCAUGCCUAAUUAAUGGUAUCGUUUGAUGAAUUGGUUUUCCUUUCGUCUUGCGUUGCUURUGUGAUGUGAGGUGAACCUUGAAGCAGCCUUUGUGAUCCACUCUUUUGAUGCAUACGCAUUGAUUUUGUGGCCCAUUGAGUGUUGCUUGGUCUCAUGGAUAUGGAACCUGGUGUGGGCAUGGAAUCUUAAUGGUUCCUUGUUUGCCCAAGUUUAGCUUUUCUAAAACGAUUGUCUAUCAUGUGUUAAUGUGGUAGACCACAUCGAAUAUGAAUGCUACCUGGUUGAUCCUGCCAGUAGUCAUAUGCUUGUCUCAAAGAUUAAGCCAU